rnacentral:misc_RNA from 1 species
GCAAACUUGGUCAUUUAGAGGAAGUAAAAGUCGUAACAAGGUUUCCGUAGGUGAACCUGCGGAAGGAUCAUUAAAGAUUCGGGCUCUGCCCUACCUCUCUUCAGCUGUGCGCGUCGGCUGCACGCUGUUGAACACCUCACACCUGUGCACCUUUUCGGUCGUGGCCCUCGCGGGCUGCUUCCGCUUUCACAUGCAACCACUUAUGUUCUGAAUGUGCUAUACUAUAAAAGUAACAACUUUCAACAACGGAUCUCUUGGCUCUCGCAUCGAUGAAGAACGCAGC